GUUUCCAUAGUGUAGUGGUUAUCACGUCCUUUACACGCUGAAAGGUCCCCAGUUCGAAACUGCGGGAAACA
rnacentral:tRNA from 1 species